UACAGAGAGUGCGAACGUUGUUCGGAAUUACUGGGCUUAAAGCGCACGUAGGCGGCAUCGUAAGUGUCUGGUGAAAUCCCACGGCUCACCCGUGGAACUGCCAGGCAUACUGUGAUGCUCGAGUGUGGUAGGGGAGAGCGGAACUCCUGGUGGAGCGGUGAAAUGCGUAGAUAUCAGGAGGAACACCGGUGGCGAAGGCGGCAUCCUGGACUGGUCCUGACACUCAGGAGCGAAAGCGUGGGGAGCGAUCCGG
rnacentral:rRNA from 1 species